CGUGAGGGAUGACGGCCUUCGGGUUGUAAACCUCUUUCAGCGGGGACGAAGCGAAAGUGACGGUACCCGCAGAAGAAGGACCGGCCAACUACGUGCCAGCAGCCGCGGUAAUACGUAGGGUCCGAGCGUUGUCCGGAAUUAUUGGGCGUAAAGGGCUCGUAGGCGGUCUGUCGCGUCGGGAGUGAAAACUCAGGGCUCAACCCUGAGCGUGCUUCCGAUACGGGCAGACUAGAGGUAUGCAGGGGAGAACGGAAUUCCUGGUGUAGCGGUGGAAUGCGCAGAUAUCAGGAGGAACACCGGUGGCGAAGGCGGUUCUCUGGGCAUUACCUGACGCUGAGGAGCGAAAGCAUGGGGAGCGAACAGGAUUAGAUACCCUGGUAGUCCAUGCCGUAAACGUUGGGCGCUAGGUGUGGGGACCUUCCACGGUUUCCGUGCCGCAGCUAACGCAUUAAGCGCCCCGCCUGGGGAGUACGGCCGCAAGGCUAAAACUCAAAGGAAUUGACGGGGGCCCGCACAAGCGGCGGAGCAUGCUGAUUAAUUCGAUGCAACGCGAAGAACCUUACCUGGGUUUGACAUAUACCGGAAAGCUGCAGAGAUGUAGCCCCCCUUGUGGUCGGUAUACAGGUGGUGCAUGGCUGUCGUCAGCUCGUGUCGUGAGAUGUUGGGUUAAGUCCCGCAACGAGCGCAACCCUCGUCCUAUGUUGCCAGCACGUUAUGGUGGGGACUCAUAGGAGACUGCCGGGGUCAACUCGGAGGAAGGUGGGGAUGACGUCAAGUCUUCAUGCCCCUUAUGUCCAGGGCUUCAAGCAUGCUACAAUGCCCGGUACAAAGGGCU
rnacentral:rRNA from 1 species